rnacentral:rRNA from 1 species
GACGAACGCUGGCGGCGUGCUUAACACAUGCAAGUCGAACGGAAAGGCCCUGCUUUUGUGGGGUGCUCGAGUGGCGAACGGGUGAGUAACACGUGAGUAACCUGCCCUUGACUUUGGGAUAACUUCAGGAAACUGGGGCUAAUACCGGAUAGGAGCUCCUUCUGCAUGGUGGGGGUUGGAAAGUUUCGGCGGUUGGGGAUGGACUCGCGGCUUAUCAGCUUGUUGGUGGGGUAGUGGCUUACCAAGGCUUUGACGGGUAGCCGGCCUGAGAGGGUGACCGGCCACAUUGGGACUGAGAUACGGCCCAGACUCCUACGGGAGGCAGCAGUGGGGAAUAGUGCACAAUGGGCGGAAGCCUGAUGCAGCAACGCCGCGUGCGGGAUGACGGCCGUCGGGUUGUAAACCGCUUUCGCCUGUGACGAAGCGUGAGUGACGGUAAUGGGUAAAGAAGCACCGGCUAACUACGUG